ensembl:lncRNA
CACAGACACUCACCAACUACACGCAAGGGUGAGCUCCAAUGCAUCUGCCAUUAGGAACACAACUUGGGUUAAGAAAGGGGGGGUCGGGGGAGGGGGGCACGCUGAAAUACAUUCACUCUGUCAGGUUACUACUUAAACACACAUGACUGAGAAAAGCAGCCUCUGCCACAUGCAUGCUUCCUCUCAUAAUUCUGUUCACCUCUCGUCUUGACCUAAAAGCCACUGGGCCACUUUUACCGCUGGGCCACUUCCAAGGAAACAGGAAGCGCUGGGCCAGCAGUGCGGUCGACAGCUUUCAGAUGGACUAUUGUUGAUAUGUAGCAUGUUCAGAGGAUCGCUGUGAGGAAGUGGGGGCUGUUCCCGCUCGGCGGAACACAAUCACCCCCCCACACGAGCCUCAUAAUCGUCAAACCGUGUCUAUUAAUGGCUGAGAGGAAGAACACUAGCAGAUUCCAAAUCGCUCUAAAAAUAUGAAAAUGCAUUUGCUUGAAUUAUAAGUUUUACGAGAUACAUCACGUAUAAUUUAGGAUUACUGACAGUAUAUCCUGUCUACCUGUGGGUUUAGACAUAAAGAAAAGGUCAAAGGGGGGGGGGGGGGGGGUCACGAAAUAGCUCAAGCAUCUAUCAACACACAGGAAACGUGCAUUGCUGAACAAACAGUGACUAGUUGUCAAAUUAGGGGCCUGGAUUCCGCUGUGAGACGGACACACUGAAUGUUACUGCUGUCUUCAGCUGCCCCGAUUCACACUGCUCCUGUUUCUCCAAAACACAUUUCCAUGUUCCAUGUAGUCCUGUGUUUGCAGUUUUUACGUUUUAUUGGAAAACCAACUUGCGGGCAAAUAAAAGUGGAAAUUUUUUAUUGGUGUUUUUUGUUCUUAUUCAAAAUAUGUGAAUACCGUGACGGUCACAUCACCUGGCAAGAUGGAAGAUGGCUGAGACCUUCCAUUCAGUCACAUCUGCACGUCGUCCAAAAUGAUGUAAGCAAGUUCCCAUCACUUUCCCUUAUUAAUGUCACUUCCAUGUUGGGCGCCGAGCUACAUAAACACCCACACACAUGUUAAUAAUGCACACGCAGCAAGACUCUAUGUGGGCCCCAUUUGACCUGCAUGUGUUAAACUGACACACAUAUAAUACGCCAUCUAUCGCCCCCCCUCCUGGUCCCCCAGCGCUGCUCAGUCCCGACUGGGCCAGUUGGGGGGGAAAUGGAGGAUCCACAUGGAGCUUGUGACACCGCGGCCCUUCUGCUUUUCCCCAGUCGCCAGAGACCAGAGGAGGCCAGAGGAGGCCGACCGGCCCGCUGCACAUUAACUGCAACAGGUGCAGUGAGCGGGGGCUUUGUUUUGUUUUUUUUCUUCAUUGGCUCCUCAGGAAAUCAUAAAGCAAAUAUAUUGCUGGAGGACGGUUUUCGGGGUGCCCUGUGAGCAAACUGAGAGGGGAAAUGGAUCAACGAGCAGCCACCGGGGACAGUAAAUCAACAGGCUAAAAGGAGAGCUGAAUGUACUGGGGAGGCCCUCCGGGGCCCAGUCCAAGGCCGGGGCCUCUGUCAGUCAGAGCCCGGUGUUAAUGGCAAAGCCAGCUGGACGUGGCAGCACACGCCUGUAAGGAAACGAUUGAGCCGUCUGUGUCAAUCGCCAGCGUACCACUAGAGGCCAUAAUGUCACAGGCCAGCGUUUUUGGGGAACUUCAAAGUUGAGUGUUUUCUAUUUCCCCUCGUUGUUUUUUGCCUUUUUUCUCUCUUCUUUCGGGUUAAGGGAUCCGAUUUUUUUUUUCACCUGCUCAAAGGCAUCCCAGAAGCUGUGCUUUUGUUAAGUCUUAUUUUUACGACAAAAAUAUAAAAAUGAGCCUUCCCCCUGAAUGAAGAGCCGAGACAAAGUCAUGCAUGGGGAAAUGUGUGUAUCCCUGCGUCAACAGCAGGGGAGGAGCCUCUGCGCGCACUGGGGAGCCUACUCUUAAUGGUUCGUCGCGAAUCGAUUUGUCCCGGCGGUUUAAGCUCCAGUGAGGUCGUCCUGUCCCAUUCUCCUCGGCAGGAAAGCCCCUUUGUCUCUGCUACUGCACUUGAUUCAAUCUUCGUCAAUCAGGAACAUGUGGUGUUUCACGCUGGGCAACCUCUACCCGUCCCAUCAAGGCCACCGCCACCGUAUCCACACACACACACACACACACACACACACACUUUCUCUCGGAGGCCUUUUCUCUCGCCUAGUUUACAAAUUAGAGCAGCUGAGGUUUACUGCUACUUCAGACGGGCCGGCGUUGCCAUGGGAGGCCCAGACAGGCUGGUUACCUCGUGAAUGGGGCAUUAUUAUGGGCUGGAGACACAAGCUGGUCCGCCGCGAUCUCUCUGAUUGAGUGUUUCAACACAUCAUAAUGGGGAAACAGCUGUACUCCAAAUUAGUACUUUCUCCUUGACGUUGACAAAUGUGCUGCUUGGAUUCGGUAUGAAGCCUGAAGGUUUCCAAAGCCCGAACGUUUUGCCCACCGCCCCCGGGACGCACACCUCGACCACCCUCCUGCUCCUCACACACACACACACACACACACACACACACACACUGAGGUAAAACGCAAGCACUCUGCAGGAGAACAUGGCUAAUCAUCUAUCUGUAAAUCUACUCACUGUCGUACAGUGUCGUAAGUACAGGGCAGAACGUUGUGCAACACAAUAUCUAUUGUUGAGAGACAUCUGGCAUGAGUCAACUGACCAAGCAUGGAUCCAACAGAGUUUGAAAGUAACAUUUAUUCGGUUUGUGAUGCACCAGACCCGUCGUGAAACUGCGUUGGUGGAGGCAUUUUGUUUUAAGGCAAUGGGGAGACAGAGUAAUACGAGCCCAGUUUGGAUGACGGAUCCAUGAGUUUGAAGAUUUAUGUUUUACAACUAUGGCAAAGAUCACCUACAUUGCAUUUCUCCAAGUUCUCUGCUUCUGCACCAAUGCUGGGUCAAGAAAUGACCGUCUUCCUAUUCUUCUAGUUUAUAUCAAGUGUUACCGCUGAGGGCAACAGCGCGCAAUUUUCCAAGAUAGACAUCUAUUUGAAGCGGGUAUAAUGUUGGUUUACAUAACUUAGAUCCCCUCCUGCCCCCAUUCCGUCAUUGGAAAUGUGUGGUGGGAGAGGGGAUUACAAACGCUGUUAGAUGACCUCACAAGCAUUUUGAUUCAACCAUUUUGAAGGCCUUCUGGGUAGGACAGUCAAACUUCAUUAGCAGGAGAAACACGCACACAGUUCACUCUGGGAGGGGCAGUGGAAAAGAACACAGCCGUACCAGUAAGCGGUUAGCAAAGAGGGAUUUCCACUUUAGGUAUUACAGGUAAUUGGACUUAUGCGGUUGAACUAAGAACAAAUGGUAGGUCAGUUUGAGUGCAGCGAAAGGAAACUUCUUUUGCAAGCGAGUCGGCCGGAUCUCCACACGUCGGUGACUCGGGAGUCCUGCAGAAAGAGUAACGUGCGGUUUGGAGGGAGUGAUUGUAACAUAGAUGGUAACGAGCUCAAUCGGUAUUUUGCAACUCCAAACGAAAAAACCAGAGAGUCAGAGAGAAGUGAAACCACUUUUCGGGUUGAGCUGCUGGAGCAGCUGGAUGGAAGCAUGUUCCAAGGCUCAUGUAACAGGAAAAUAGAAACGGCACUUCCCCAUUUUUUACGUACUGUGUAAUUUCAUAUGUGUUUUUUGUUGGAGGUGCAAUGUAAAUAUAAACAUGCUGAGAAGUUAUUAAAUGUGCCUCAGAAUUUUAAAAUGUUUGUUUAAAUACCUUCCUGUGUUGUUGAUGCAGACGGGCUCAUUCUUAAAGGUCAUUUCCCUGGUCAGUAGUAACUCAUAAUUUCUAGAGAAAACUAUAUUGAUACCACAGCAUCUUUACUUCCUCAUUCUGAUAAUGACACAUUGUGAUCGUUUCCUGUUUUAACAUCAUCAGCAUUACAGGUCGCUAAAGGCUGAUGAAGCGAAGUCAAGGUAAAAAAAAAAAAGAUAUAUAUUACGAAAUGAUGACUUUAUGUCACAUUUAUGGAAAUCCAUUCACUGGUUUGAUCAGACGGAUGCGCACAGCGUCCCCUCGGCAACCAAGUGCAGCACCCAAGUCUUCAAUCCAAACCGUUCAGGAACGUAAUGAUGAAGCGAGGCUGUAAACCGCACGCAGACGAGAGUGAUUGUGCGUUUGGCAUUUUCUGUUUACCCGCAGAAAUUCUGUGAUGUGCAGCCAGACUGGAAACGUCACCUGGCCGGAGGCCCGGUGUUAUUCUUUCUGCCCUGCAGAGUGGUACGGACGAGCUAAACACCCACCCAUAAAUCUGACCCGCUGCAGGUCAGGCCGCUGGCGGAGCAUCAAUAGGGGGCACCUACGCGUGUGCCGGAAAUGCCGAGUCGCUUUUUACCACAGGGCUGCUCAUGUGUCGGGCUCCUCACAUCAUCCUGACCCGCUCUCCACACGAUCGCAGCACCUGAAAUUUAAAUCACGAAGUGUAUUCUUAGAAUGUGGGGGGAAAAGCUGAAAACACAACAUUUCAGUGUUGAAACACGCCUGGCAAAUGUAUCAUUGGUACUAGUAGACUGAACAGAUAUUUUCUAUCGAUGUGUUAAUACUUACCCGCUGACACUUACCUAGAGUUGUUGUGCUGUUGCAUGAUCUUGGUCUUUCACUAUAAUAAUUUGUGUCCAUCUAAAUGUCAUUUUAUUCAGCAUUUCCUACUGUGACGAAAUGUGAAACCUUCUGCGGAGAAGAAGUGAACACUACUGUGUGUAAAGCAAAACCAGUCAAAGGCAAAAAAAAAGUAUUUCACACAUUGACAAUUGUGGUUAUAUGAGAGAAAUUACCCCUGGAACUAGACUUCAGGAAUCAGAACAGCAGUGUUUGCUUUAAUGGAUCUAAGCAACUGCGAUAUCAGGUUAACACUUAAGGUAGAAUAAUACUUUUUUUGAUGAAUUUCUAUUAUAAGAAAGUUCUUACCCUAAAAACAACCAGAAAGAAACAAAAACACAUUUAAAAACGGGCCACCGCACUAGAGGCGAUAACUUUCCUCGCCUUUAUUUAUCUUCUGGCUUGAGUAUAUAUGAAAUGUGCAGCACUAGUCAGUCGACACAUUUCUCCCUCAGAUUUUCUGGGUUUUGUGUUGACUAGACAACCGUCACCAUCAUGACAGGGCCCGCGGUGGUGGGUUGCCUCCGGUUCCUUUUCACAGCGAACUGUAAGAGUCCAGAGCGCACACUUUUUCAAAGGGAAACAAGGGCCGAGAAGUAUUUUAGCCAAUUCAAAACCACAUAUUUCAAACGCAUUUCUGCCAAGCGGGGAAACACAAUCUCACAUCCCACUGGCAGAAUUAAUGUUUAUGUGGAUUUUUAAUGGGCUACCUCGGACUGGAGCGUUUUUAAAGUUCUACCAGCGCUAGCAGAGUCUAUGAAAGAUCUCAGGGCAAUAAAAAGGAAGCGUUCUGUUCUACCGUCACUGUAAUCAGGGGCAGCUCCCCUCAACAAGUCAAGGGAAUUAUCGCAAUAAUGUAGAGGCCUCAUUUUUUUACGUUUUAGUAAAUCUGUGCUGUAAUUCACAAAUAUGUUGAAAAUGUUGCCUUUAAAGUGCCCGUAAAGUUGCACAUUUAUUAAUUCUGUGAACGCAAAGUAUGACUUUAAAAACGCACGCAUGGGGGAGACUCCCGGGAAUAUUUAAGCAGAUAGUAGGCUAAUGCUUAGGAACAGAACAGGAACCUUUCAAACAAUGUAAUCUUGCAUGUUUUUGGCGUAAACCUCGACCCGAUAUCUAUAACGCCAAGAUAGCAAAGUCUCAUUACUUUGUGAGUGUGUUUCAUACAACACAGAACGUGUGUUUACAGCAGCUUUCCACCAUUAGUUUUGCUCUAUUCCAUCAUUUAACUGACGGAGCUACAACGCAUCAGCUACUGCAUCUCUUUUGUAUUUCCCACGACGUGGGUAGAAAGAAAUGGAAAUACGAUAAUUGUAUUAAAACAUAAUCAAACCUCAAUCCUACCCAAAUAAAGAGUUAAAAGCAAGGCAAUCUUUUGAGUAGUUGCAUGCAAAUGUCUUAGGUAUUACAAGAGGGUUUUUUUUGUGUUUUGUAUUCUCAAACGUAAAUCACAAAGUUGACCAUAAACUCCAUCUCCUCACGCCGCAAUGUUGUAACCACAAAGAAACCAAGUGUCCUGGUU